GCAGGUUCGAAUCCUGCACGACCCACCAGUUUUAGCAUCGAAGACAGAUGUUAAGCGUGUAGGAUAACGUUGCGUCAGCAACGGCCCGUAGGGCGAGCGAAGCGAGUCAUCCUGCACGACCCACCA
rnacentral:sRNA from 1 species